rnacentral:rRNA from 1 species
ACGGCGGACGGGUGAGUAACGCGUAGGCAACCUGCCUUAUGCAGAGGGAUAGCCAUUGGAAACGAUGAUUAAAACCUCAUAACGCCGGAGAGUCACAUGGUUUUCCGGCCAAAGAUUUAUCGGCAUAAGAUGGGCCUGCGUCUGAUUAGUUAGUUGGUGGGGUAACGGCCUACCAAGGCGACGAUCAGUAGCCGACCUGAGAGGGUGAUCGGCCACAUUGGAACUGAGACACGGUCCAAACUCCUACGGGAGGCAGCAUG